UACAGAGGGGGCAAGCGUUGUUCGGAAUUACUGGGCGUAAAGGGCGCGUAGGCGGCCUGCUAAGUCGAACGUGAAAUCCCCGGGCUCAACCCGGGAACUGCGUCCGAUACUGGCAGGCUUGAAUUCGGGAGAGGGAUGCGGAAUUCCAGGUGUAGCGGUGAAAUGCGUAGAUAUCUGGAGGAACACCGGUGGCGAAGGCGGCAUCCUGGACCGGCACUGACGCUGAGGAGCGAAAGCCAGGGGAGCAAACGGG
rnacentral:rRNA from 1 species